rnacentral:rRNA from 1 species
UACGGGGGGAGCAAGCGUUGUUCGGAUUUACUGGGCGUAAAGGGCGCGUAGGCGGUCGUGACAAGUCACUUGUGAAAUCUCCGGGCUUAACUCGGAACGGUCAAGUGAUACUGUCGUGCUAGAGUACAGAAGGGGCAACUGGAAUUCUCGGUGUAGCGGUGAAAUGCGUAGAUAUCGAGAGGAACACCUGCGGCGAAGGCGGGUUGCUGGGCUGAUACUGACGCUGAGGCGCGAAAGCCAGGGGAGCGAACGGG